CGAUUGGACAGAGAAAAGGGAGGCAGAGUGAAGAGUUACAGAGACAGAGGCAUCUGAGAGGGAGAAAAAGCUGACCGAGAUGGAGGCGGAUGGACAGGAAGAAGAACCUGAACCAGCGUGGCUUUAAAUAGCCACCGGUAGUUAUGAUAUCAUAAAGAGUUCCUCUAUGUAUUCAAGGCUUUCUGAUCUCCUGUUCAGCCUCCCAAGUACUAAAAGUGACGAAGUGUGCCACCAUGCCAGGUUGAUGCAGUUCUAGGGAUGAAACCCAGCAUUGUGUGCAUAUUUGGGAAGCUAUAUCCUGGAAAUCUCCUUCCUAGUUUCUUUCCUAUGAGGAAGAAAUGAAGUCUAGCUCAAGGUUGAGCAUUUUUGGGAGCAAGUCUGGCGUAAAAGUACAUUGUUGACAUGGCCAUGUCAAGGAUUCCAAUGCCUCAGCCCGUGGAGGUAGCAGAGUGUUCCUGGGAGGCUCAGAGGAUUACACAGCCUUCCUCAGUUCUUCAUGUGGAUGUGGCCAGUGUGCAUAGACUUCUCCUCUUGGAUGUUUAUGUCCUGAAGACUGCUGUCCAACAGCCAUUACUCAUACUGAGAUUUGCUAAGCCGUCUUCUUGUUCAGAUGUGUAUAACAACGCGACGCGUCCUCCUGUUUCUCUGUAUGUAAUAACCAACCUUCUUGUUCAGCUGCGUGUAUUAACUUUCCUGUACAACUGUAUGCAA
rnacentral:lncRNA from 1 species